rnacentral:tRNA from 1 species
GUAUAGCUCAGUGGUAGAGUGCAUACUUAGCAUGCAUGAGGUCCUGGGUUCACCCCCAGUAC